GUCUUUGAAGUGUUGGGUUUGCAUCCUUUGUCUUUUGAUAUCCCCCCUCUGAUGCUGGCAACUUAAAACUUGCAUGUGCUCGAGGUUCUUUAGGCAAAAGAGGCACCUCUCACUUUCAAAUUUACUCCAUUCUUAUUUUAACACCUGUGCACUAAUAAACAGUGUUCUGUUCAUUGGGGUCAGCCUUUGUCUGGUGAAUAUGUGUAUUGUGGGUCCUGUAUGAUCAGCAGUGGGAUUAACAUAUCCCAAAGUGGAUAAUAACAGGGAUCUGCAUAUAUGCAUAUUUUAUUCUCGCAGAGAUGGCUCAAGUGAAUAUGGCUUUGUUUUCAACAUACAAUUAACUCUUGUCAUAUAUAUGUCUUGUGGAAUGAAAUGCUCCAAUUGUGAGCAAAGAUGGUUAUAUAUAUAACUUUCAACAAUGGAUCUCUUGGCUCUUGCAUCGAUGAAGAACGCAGCGAAAUGCGAUAAGUAAUGUGAAUUGCAGAAUUCAGUGAAUCAUCGAAUCUUUGAACGCACCUUGUGCUCCUUGGGUUACCUAUGGAGCAUGCCUGUUUGAGUGUCAUAUUAAUCUCAGUUCCCUCAGGUCUUUUUUUAACAUGAAGACCUGCUCAGGUGAAUUGGACUUGGAGGUUCUAUGCAGGUUCCCUUGUAAUUAUGGGAAAUCAGCUCCUCUGAAAAGUAUUAGCUGGAGGAUGUAGCAAAAGGGCUCUGGUUUUAGCAUUGUUUCAUUUGCUAUGGUGUAAUAA
rnacentral:rRNA from 1 species